ensembl:lncRNA
GCCUAAAAAUAACUCCUCCCAGCCCAGCCUGCUCCCUCCCGGGCUCCUGCUGGUGCUAAUGCUCUCCCAGCCAGGCGGAGAGCCCUGUGCCAGGCAGACCACAGGACGGUGGUGAUUGGCAGGUGGGACUGAGUCCCCACUGACGCUUGAGAAGACCCCAGCCCCAGGGCACUUUCCACGGCAAGGAGCAGGGUCAUCCAUGGCUGCUGGAGGGGGGCUGUCCCAGCAGCUGCAGAAGAGACUGCAGGAGGAGGCCAGGCCUCUCCAAGGGACCCUGAUUGGACUUCGGACAUUUAUCGUGACGAGCAUCUCAAGGUGCGAAACCAGAACAUCAAGCCUGCCGCACCCUGGACAGCAUGGCUCAGACAAGGCUCGGCACAAACAGGAAGUGAUUUCAAGAAAGAGUUAAAUAGCAGCACAGAAGGUGCUCAGAGGAACAGAAAUGUGGAGCUGGGACCAGAAUGGCGGAAUUUUCCCUGGCAUCUUGCUACACUAUAAAUUUGACUCCAAGCUUCCCAGUGCCACAGAGCCUUCCAGAAGGAGAGUCCAACAGGACUGGUGGAGUCUCAAAGGACAGCCUGGGAGAUGAGGCUACUGGAGGCCAAGAAGGGAUCGCCUCACUCCAGACCCCAAACCUCCUCCCCACGCUCCAUCCCCAAAGCUGUGGCGCCUGGAUUGUGGCCAUUCCCCUGCUUGCUGAGAGGAUUAAGUGUCUAAAGUCCUCAUCGGGGGAAUUCCCAGGCAGUCCAGUGGCUGGGACUCUGCCCGUCCACUGCAAGGGGCACGGUUUCUUUCCCUGGUCAGAGCACUAAGAUUCCAUAUGCUGCACAACAUGACCAAAAAAUAACAUUAAAAAAAAAUUUUUUUUUAAUAAAAUAAAUAAAUCAAUCCACAGCCCACAGUGGGCGCUCAAUAAAUGGUGAUCGUCUUUGUCA